UAUCUAUUUGGUUUUGGUAGAAUAAAGAAUUAUUAAUUUAACCAGCAGUAGAAAUGUUACAAAUUAGACUUAGAAUUAAUUUAAUCUAAGAAACGUUAGUGGUGAAUAUUUAUUUAUAAGUGAAAGCUUGAAUAGGAUAUUAAUAAAAAAGGGGCGGAUACUUGUGCCAGCAGCUGCGGUUAUACCUGAUCUUAUCUUUAUGCUAGGUAUAUGAAAAGAAUAAUAAUGAAUAAAAAAAUCAAUAUGUGGUUAAAUAAGUUGAUGUCUAAAACAAAUUCUUUAUAAUCUCUUUCUAAAACUGGUUUAAAAACCGAGAUUAGAUACCUCGUUAUUCCAGAAGUAAAUAUAGAAUCCAUAGUAGUAGAAUCGAAACUUAAAAAACCUGGCGGCAGCCUUUCUCACCGGGGGAGCGUGACGCGUAAUCGAUAAUCCGCGUAAUAAUUCACCUUUUCUUUUAGCUAGUGUACGGCCGUUUUCAGUCUAUCUUUAUAAAGUUUAAAAAAAGGCAUAAUUAUAUAUAAUUAAGGCAGGUCAUUGUGCUGCUUAUGAAAAGAGGGUUAGUUUCGCUAUUUUGUAUAGAAUAAAGGAGUUAAUCUUGUAAAAGUUUAAGAAAUUUAGACUCGGGAAUAAUAAAUAAUUAAUAAGUAUUUGUGAAUUUUAAUAAAGAGUUCAGGGUUGUGUACAUACCGCCCGUCAUUCUUUUCUAAUAGAAAAGAAAAGUCGUAACAAGGUAACCUAAACUGAAGUUUAGGUUAUUCCAGU
rnacentral:ncRNA from 1 species